UCUUGUUUCCUUCUCUAUACAGUAUUGUACGCAUGAUAAAACGUAAACGUGCCUCCUUUCUGCAGGGUUAUGACAGCUACCCUGUCUCACGGUAAACAAAAGACAAAGAAAAUCUGCAAGGGAAUGAACAGGAAGUUAGCAAACUAAAAUCUGAUUGUAUAUUAAAAAAAUCUAUCAUGGAUUGCUUCCAGAAUGCUAUUGUUACUCAUAAGACACUGUAGAAAAAAAUGGUGCUAAUGAUCCUUUGGAUUACAUGGCUUUUCUCCACUGCAGAGCAGUGGAGUCUAUCAGAUGUGAACAUGGACUUGGAACACUUGGAAUUGAUUGACAUGAUUCACCUCCAGAUCAUUUGCAACGACUAAGUGGGAAAACAACAUUCAAAAUAUAUGUUUUAUAUUUCAGUGUGUAAAGUACAAUGAUUUAUCACACAUUUGCAUGGUUGCAUAUGUAAAACAUAUUUCAUAUUAAUUAAGUGCAUGUUUCAUAUUAAUUACCCCAAAAAAGCAUCAGACAAAUCCUUUUGUAUCUCUCUGUUGUUAUAUCAGGCAUGAUACCAGGGCAUGGCACCACAUAUUUAAUGAACUCAUCAAAAAUGCAUUAUAUUACUCAAGGAGCUGUGGGAGGGUGCUCAUGCUGCUCGAUUGGGACGGAAGAAAAAAAAACCAUUUCUCUUUCAUGUUGUUUAUCUGCAAAGAUUCUAUUAACUAGGAUUACAUGUCUUUACUUCUCUGCUGAAGAUCGCAGAAGUGUGUGAAGACCAACAUUUCAAGUUGCAUUCAAAUGCAUAAUUGUCUUCACACGCUACUGUACUGCACCUUCAUACCAUUUGGAAAAGCACCAUUACAAAAUAGCAGAGUGUAUGUACAAUAAGAACGGAGAUUUUCUUCCAUCAAGCAGGAAAAGGUAAAUAAUAUCAGAAGCGAAUACAUACUGGAGGUCUGCAGGAUGUUUUUUUUCUUUUUUCCCAGGGGGAUUUCCAUGGGUAGAAUAUAAGGAUGGCUACUUUCUACUUCGGAUACUUGAGUACUUUUAAGAUAUGAUACUUUUGUACUUUUACUCAAGUAGUUUUCUAGAAGGAGACUGACUUAAUUACAUUUUUUUCCAAGUAACAGUACUUUUACUUAAGUAACAUGUUUUAAUACUUUUUCCAAACCUGAUAACACGACUCGUUAUAGUGGAUUCCGGAAUGCGGAAUCGAUUAUAACACGGUAGUGGCCCUUUUAUACUCGUCAUAAGGUGGAACACAAAUAGCAUGGUCUUGUAACUAUAGCGUUAUAAAGGGUGAGCACGGUAGUAUUCUGUAAACUUUAUGUUUACUUAUAGUGAAACAGGUACCAGUAUAUACUUUUCGGUUGCCAAAAUAAAUAUAACAAACCAAAACAAAACCAAAGCUUAUAUCAUUAUGCUUAUUCUCACUCUCAUAUUGUAUUUCAAACUGCUGUGAUGUCAUAAUAAUACAACAAUUUGGUACCAGGACAACUGUGUGGAGGUUUUUAAAUAAAACCUAUUUGAACGAUUUCAACAUGAAGCCACAAGGUUCAAGGGGGCUAUACUGAUGCAUGAUUAAGCUUUUGAAAAUACACAUACUUUAACAUAUUGAUCCUUUUACAACACUGGUGGCUUUACAUUUACAUUGUAACCAUGAAUAAGAAAGAAAAUACUUUACCUUAUAUAACUGAUACUAAUGUGCUUUUCAGUUAGUUAUAGCUAGUUAAUAUUAAUUUAUGGAACAAACGUUGAUGGCCUACAGUAUGCGAUAAAAGUAGAAAACCGAUUACAUUAUUUGGGCCCACAAAAAACCCUUCUUAAUAAGGCCCUAGAUUUUACUGAUGCAGGUUUAGGUUUAGCAGCAAAAAAAGAAAUGCCUUGGUAAGUCAGUAGAGAAAAAUACGGUAGGCUGAAAGUUACGCAUUUCUGAUGAUGUAAAAGUAAAUUGGUGUGCAGUGUGAGCGAUUACACCAGAGGACAUUGAAGCUUUGGAGAAUAAUAAAAACCAGGCUGCUCUAAUUUCCUUUCAACAACUGAGUACAUACAGGUCAUUAUUUCCUGUAAUCCACAGGCCUCGAAGUGCAAGUCCCAGCCCUGAGCAAGGGAACCUCUGAAAUUAUGAAAUAGAUCACUGAGAGGUUAUUAAGGCUAGUUAGAAAUUAUUAACCCUUUAACUGAGGAUGAGAAUAAUGUGAAGCAUAGCAAAUCACCCCAAUACUACUAUGACUACGACUAAUAAUAAUAAUAAUAAUAAUAAUAAUAAUAAUAAUAAUAAUAAUAGUGCUUAAUUUGUCUUGUCUUUCUAUUCAUUUCAAUGUAAGAUUUGUAGCGACUUGCGUUAGAUCAUACCAACGAUGUGAUUGCACAGGCAAAAGAACAGAUUUAAUAAAAAGAAAACUAAUAGAAAGUUUUAUAUAGCAAUAAUCCACUCCAGGAUGGGCACUGUCUUCAACUAAUGCACUUCUUAGCAGACUGAAGGCAAUCAUCUUAUUUGACAAGAGUGCUCACUCUGUCAUGGCUCAAAACAUUCUCCUCGUUCAUCUGCAUGAUUUUGCUCCUAUUCCAUUCUGGACUCUGAUAUUUAACUCUUAGAAACCAUCAAGGUUUAAUUUCCCCUGAAUAAUUUCACAAAACUCUGAAUAUUGAAUUUGUAUUCUUUCAGUUUGCAGGCCAUUGCUUAUCAGCGUUAAAUGUCAGGCUAGGGAAACACAAGUGAUCAUCUCAAACAUUACAACUUUGUGUAUUCUUUAUCUGCCUUCCAGACAAAAAAAAAACAAAAGCCUCUAGAAUUACCUGGAAUCCUGUUCACUCAAAAGCUUUGGGAAAUCAGAGCUAAUUGAGAUCUAAUUUGCCCAGGGUACAGGAAAAUGAAAUAUAGUCUGGGAUCUAAUUUACUUUGCUGUUGGGCACCUCCUUUGCCAGCUAAUGUGCUGUGAUACAGUUUCCUUCUGGGUAGCAUUCUCUAACUGACUGAUUAAUAUAUGAUGCUUCCAUAAUAACAUAAUACUGCUACUACGACUACUGCGACUAUACUAUAAUAAUAAUAAUAAUAAUAAUAAUAAUAAUAAUAAUAAUAAUAAUAAUACAUAAAUACAUGUUUAAAUUGUAAUUUAAAGCUUGUAAAGUAAUUUAGCUGAAGAAAAUAUUCAAAGCAGGAGGACAGGCUUUAACAAAUCCUUUGUAGUGCAUUGGUCAUUUGAUGAUACUUCUUGUCUUCACAGCACUAAACUAUUAUCAGUGUAUUAGUAUAGUAUAUUGAAUAGGAAUAAGAAUUACAAUCUACAGGCAGCUCGUUCUCUGUGUGGCUGACCUACUGUAUAUACUUACCUUCCUUCUUUACAAUACCCAUUUCUGAGGUUUAUUUUAUAAAAAAUAUGUUGCUCUCUAUAAUGUAAUGUACUGUAUGAACUGUAAAUUGUAUAAAAGCAUUUGCAAGACCAUGCUUUUCUUUUCCUGGAGUAUAAAGCUUAUCCACUUCAAAGAAAGUUCAUGGGAAAAUCUAUCUGAAGGUUUACAACAUAUUUUAAUUAUUUGUUUUUGCACAUCCAUUUAAACGUUUACUUAGGCAGUGGAUAUUGCACUUACCAGAAUUGUUUAUGUUUGCUUUCAAAAGUGGUAACAGUUCCAGCAUCCACAUUCCAAAAUUCAAUGUGACCUAAAAAUGUAUGUUGGCCUAAUAGCUAGUUUAAAUGUGUCCUUUCCUAGACUGACAUUAUUACCAACACACACAAUAUACACAGUUACUUUAUAAUGUGCUAUCAUGGCAAUUUAAGAUGGGGGAAUCAACCCUUUCUGUGCUGUUAUGAAAUUGCAAGCAACUGAAUUUU